rnacentral:rRNA from 1 species
GAUGAACGCUAGCUACAGGCUUAACACAUGCAAGUCGAGGGGUAACGAGAGGAAAGCUUGCUUUCCUUGUCGACGACCGGCGCACGGGUGAGUAACGCGUAUCCAACCUGCCCCCAACUAGGGAAUAACCUUGCGAAAGUAAGACUAAUACCCUAUAAUUUCCUCAGAUGCCAUCUGACGAGGAAUAAAGAUUUAUCGGUUGUGGAUGGGGAUGCGUCUGAUUAGCUUGUUGGCGGGGUAACGGCCCACCAAGGCAACGACCAGUAGGGGUUCUUGGAGGAAGGUCCCCCACAUUGGAACUGAGACACGGUCCAAACUCCUACGGGAGGCAGCAGUAAGGAAUAUUGGUCAAUGGGCGGAAGCCUGAACCAGCCAAGUAGCGUGCAGGAUGACGGCCCUAUGGGUUGUAAACUGCUUUUAUACAGGAAUAAAGUUAGCCACGUGUGGUUAUUUGUAGGUACUGUAUGAAUAAGGACCGGCUAAUUCCUUGCCAGCAGCCGCCGUAA